rnacentral:rRNA from 1 species
AUUGAACGCUGGCGGCAUGCCUUACACAUGCAAGUCGAACGGCAGCACGGACUUCGGUCUGGUGGCGAGUGGCGAACGGGUGAGUAAUGUAUCGGAACGUACCUUUCAGUGGGGGAUAACGUAGCGAAAGUUACGCUAAUACCGCAUAUUCUGUGAGCAGGAAAGCAGGGGAUCGAAAGACCUUGCGCUGAUUGAGCGGCCGAUAUCAGAUUAGCUAGUUGGUGGGGUAAAGGCCUACCAAGGCGACGAUCAGUAGCGGGUCUGAGAGGAUGAUCCGCCACACUGGAACUGAGACACGGUCCAGACUCCUACGGGAGGCAGCAGUGGGGAAUUUUGGACAAUGGGGGCAACCCUGAUCCAGCCAUGCCGCGUGAGUGAAGAAGGCCUUCGGGUUGUAAAGCUCUUUCGGCCGGGAAGAAAUCGCAUAGGCUAAUACCCUGUGUGGAUGACGGUACCGGAAUAAGAAGCACCGGCUAACUACGUG